rnacentral:rRNA from 1 species
UGGGGAAUAUUGCACAAUGGGCGAAAGCCUGAUGCAGCGACGCCGCGUGAGGGAUGACGGCCUUCGGGUUGUAAACCUCUUUCAGUAGGGACGAAGCGCAAGUGACGGUACCUACAGAAGAAGCACCGGCCAACUACGUGCCAGCAGCCGCGGUAAUACGUAGGGUGCGAGCGUUGUCCGGAUUUACUGGGCGUAAAGAGCUCGUAGGCGGUUUGUCACGUCGUCUGUGAAAACCCGAGGCUUAACCUCGGGCCUGCAGGCGAUACGGGCAGACUUGAGUACUGUAGGGGAGACUGGAAUUCCUUGUGUAGCGGUGGAAUGCGCAGAUAUCAGGAGGAACACCGGUGGCGAAGGCGGGUCUCUGGGCAGUAACUGACGCUGAGGAGCGAAAGCGUGGGUAGCGAACAG